UUUCUGGGAUGAAUCAAACUAGCUCACUAUGACUGAUUAUGAAAACAGUUGAACACCUAAGGGAA
ensembl:snoRNA SNORD29 Small nucleolar RNA SNORD29